UCACCGUGCCCAGCUAUUUUUUUUUUUAAUUAAAUAAAAAUCUGCUGCCUCUCCAAGCAGAAUCCUUUUGAAAGCAAAGGGCCCGUGGUUCAGCCUUCAGUUCACUCUUUUGUGCUUGGCACAGCACUUGGCAUUCUGUAGCAAAUACUCCUUUGGAAAGAGAGAUUAAGCAACUUGCCAAAACCAUUCAGGUAGUAAAUGAUAGACUCACAUUUUGAACACAUACCCUGCUCAUCACACCCUCUCAUGGAGUUCUCAUCAGCACCACGCUCAGUGCACCAGGUGAGUCCCCCUUCUUUUUUGAGGUCACCCCCACUCGGCUUCUGAACGUCCCAAACAGGGAAUUUUGUCCACUCCUACCCCCACGUUCAGUCUGCCCUCUCCCUAAUAGACAGCAUCCUAAACCUGGUGAACUAAAUUUACUGGUAAAUGGCUAGUGGGCUAAUGGCACUUUGGUGAUUGUCCUUUGCUAAUUUUACUGUUGUUAGAAAGUUGUUCUCAACCCCAGCACUUUCCAUUUGGGAGCUUUUUCAGAGGCCAGAAUCUCUAUUUACAACCAAAACGCCAGGGUGGCAGCGAGAGGGCGCGGUCCAGUCGUGGUACGCCCCUGGCCACUCCGCGGCACCGUUACCCCGCCCCCCGCCUGAGCCACCGGCGCGCCCCGUUGUAGCCAUUGGAGACACCACACGGUCUUUUAGGAAAGCGGGCCAUUAGCCGGUGUUCAGGAGAGAAACGUGGCCACCUCCCCACGGGCGGGUGCUGAUCUGCGGUGGAGACCUCGUCCCCCGCAGAGAGCGACCGAAAUCCCCUUGGGCCGCUGGGUCUUGCAUGGCUGGAUGCCUGGAUGCCGCCUGUCCAAGGCUUUAGCGACCGUGUCUCCCUUCAUGACCUUGGCCUCUGUGACAGGCAGGCCCAGCAGCUGCCCCAACAUCCCGGUCAGCUGGAGCCUGUUUUCCUGACAUGGGUUUUCUCUAAACUUCAUGUCAGAUUGGAAGCGCACUGCUGAGAAGCCCCACGAGAAGGCCCGGACAUCUCAGUACCCUGACUCCAAGGUGGAGCGAAGCCUGGUUCCCCAUGAGAAAGUGAGCUGGCUGGCCGAGUGACGAGAAUAACGCCCCGAGAGUACACUGCCAGCUCUGUCUUGGACGGGCCCAUGUGGGCAGACCCUCAAGUGGGUGAAAGGAACUUCUCUCCUAAGUUUAACAAAAAGGAUGGGUAUGUGGAGAGAAGGAGCCAGCAUGGCUUGUAUGAGAUUGAGAAAGGUAGACUUAGAACUCCUGCAUGUCGGACAGGACUGGUUGGCCCAGGGCUUUUGGGGUGUUGAGGCCCCAAUCAUACUGCAGAUCCCAUCUUAACCAGAUGGAAAAGGGAUAGCAAGGGAAACUAAAUUACCCACCCUAUUUCUGGGAAAAAUAUCCUGCAAUUUGUAGCCAUCAAAAGGAAGGACUGUGGAGAAUAGGCAAUCCCAGGGUGGGUGGUAGAUCCAGGAGAGAAAAUGAGUGCUACAUUGGAGAGAGAAUUUGGCUAGGAAGCCAUGAAGUCUUUAUAGAAAUCUAGGGAAGAAAUGCAGGAGUUGGAGAAACAAUUGCACAAAUUCUUCAGCCAGGAACAUUUUGUGGUCUAUAAAGGCUAUGUGGAUGAUUCUCGGAACACAGAUAACUCCUGGAUAGAGACAGAGGCUGUGAACUACCAUGAUGAAACCGGUGAAAUAAUGGACCAUCUUCCUCUGGAAGCUGGCAAUGAUGCCAAGAAAGUGAAAUGGGUGGACAUUAAUGAUAAAUUUGAGCUUUAUGCCAGCCACUCCCAAUUUAUUCAACUUGUGUCUGAGAAACAAGGUGCCCAAUGGAGUGAGGACAUGUAUCCUGAUUGCCAGGGAUAGUGGCUUGGAGUCUCGUGUGAGCCAAAGGCCUUCAAAUGAUCAAGAGUGGGUGAGAGGCAAACAGCACAUAACUCCCACUAAAUAGGACAGGGAGGGUCACCUCUUUGGUGAUUAAUUCCAAAACUGUGCUAUAUGAAGGCUUUGUAUUAGGGAAUAAUAUUAGACAAAUAUGGGGAAAUGGGAUCACAGAAGUUUUGGCUUUCCUGUUAGAAGAAUAUACUCACAUGCUGUAUAUAUUGUAUACAUGGUUUAAACUAACUUACACAACUACUGCUCUUUGGAGAAUUGUAAGAAAAACAAUGACAUCUUCCUUAACAACCAUAGCCUCUACUUUUCAGCCAGUUUGCAUUUGUCAAUUCUUCUUCCUCCUGAUGUUUUAAUGUGGCAUAAUCUAAUGUAUAAUCUGACUUUUGAGUUAACAUUUAUUUUUUAAAUUUAGCAUUAUGUGGUCUUGUUUUCCUUGCUUUUGAGUAUGGGAGCUUUCUGGCUUUUCUUUCUUUUUUUUUUUUUUAGAGCUUCAGUUUUAUAGGAAAAGUUCAAUCUCUAUUUUUGUCCACAAGGAUCAAGUGCUUAUGAACCAGACCAAAAAAAAAAAAAAAAAUGCAGUGACAAAAUGAGCUUAGAUCCAGCCCUCUGGUUAUCAGAACUCUUUCUGUCUGAACAGAAUAAACUAAGCUGAAGAUAAUGGUUUCUUCUCAUUUCAGAAGAAGACCCUACAAGUGCAGAUUCUUGUCAUGCAGAUGGCUUUAUUGGGACAUGUAUAUAAUCCAAGCCUAAUGAAAAUACAAUAAUUCACAUCUACCUUUUCUCAAUUAAAAUAAAAACCCAAUAUGCAAACAGAGAAGAUGCUUAUAGUCAGCCUGCAAACACAGAGACAGCCUCUCUGACAAGAAUGUGGGGAUUCCAAUAGCAACAAAUAGGUCAGAAACCUGUUUUAUUCUUUCAUUUCUCAUCACCUAAAACAAGCCAGUUAAAUUUAUUUGCAACAUACGGAAAAUUAACUCAAACCACUAUAAUGAGCCUUUUAUGACUGAGGGAAAAAUAAAGACAAUUGCAGGAGUUGAUAGCAUCAUAAGAGGAUUGCUUCAAUAAUAAUAGCUGACACAUUCCGCUUACUAUGUGCAAGCACCCUUUCACAUGCUUUAUGUAUGGUGACUUAUUGAUUCCUAAAGAUCACCCUAUAAGGAAGGUACUCUUAUGUUGCAGGUCAGACUCCCUGGGAAGCAGAUUCCAAGAGGGAGAUUAGAUUACAAGAUGUUUACUAGGGAGUGGUCUUGGGAUCAACACCUGGGAAAAGAAGGAGAAGAAAGGAGGAUUGAGCAAAGUGAGCAGCUGAGCUGGAAUGCAGGCCCAAUGGAAGCCUCAGCCAACUCCAUCUAGAACUCUGGAGCUGGGAAGGCCCUUUUAGCUUCCCUGAAUUGGAGUGAUGGGGCCAGGCCUUUAUACCCUGUAUUGAUCAGUCAUUGGAUAUGGCUGUGACCUCGAGGGAGAGAAUUUCUUCAACCAAGACAAUCCCAAAAAGGACUGACAGCUAAGGGACAUCUUCUGGUAAUAUUCCCAGCCACUGAGAAGUGGAAUCUGGGAGGAGGGUGUGUGGGGUGCAUAGCAGGGUCUACCACAUAUUAUUAUCUCGGUUUACGGAUGAUGUAACUGAGGCACAGAAAGGUUACAGAACUUGAACAAAGUUAUACAACCAGUAAGUGGUAGAGAUAAGAGUAGAGCAUAGAUCACUGGGCUCCACAGUCCACACCCUUGAUCGCAAUACCAUAGUCUUUCAAUAAUUACCCUCCUAUUGUUCCUGUAUACUGUUCCUUUAAAGAAAAAGAAAGAGAAGUUGUCAUACCAUUAUAUCUCUUUCUACAUGCA